GAGUUGCUCUCGGUCCUUCAACGUGAGAACACUUUCACACCAUUCGAUCAAGAUGAUACGCUUCAUCUUGAUCGUGGCGGCGGCUCUUGGAAGCCCAGCCGUCCUCGGCCAGUACUACAAUACUUUCUCUUACAAUGGCCAGUAUCGUUCGACCGGAUCAAUCGCCUCGCAAAUUCGGAACCUCACCAGAACCUGGGUUGCCGGUAACAAUACUCUGCCACCAGCGGCCUACUUCAAAGGUGUUCUGUACGAUCGUCUAGGUGAAACGCGUUUGGCUCCGGCCAUUCUGGUCAACCCUCAAGAUAUCCAACUGCCAGAAUCGUUCGACGCCCGCCAGAAGUGGUCCCAAUGUCCAAGUCUGAACGUGAUCCGUAACCAGGGAUGCUGUGGAUCGUGUUGGGCUAUCUCGGCCGCUUCGGCCAUGACCGAUCGUUGGUGCAUCAAGUCCAAGGGCAAGGAGCAGUUCUCGUUCGGUGCCACCGAUAUGCUGGCUUGCUGUCACGCUUGUGGAGAUGGAUGCAAGGGUGGAUAUCUGGGUCCGGCUUGGCAGUUCUGGGUCGAACAGGGCGUCUCUUCGGGAGGUCCGUACAAUUCGCGCCAGGGAUGUCAUCCAUAUCCGAUCGAUGUGUGUGACGCAUCCGGUGAAGAAGCCGACACUCCCAAGUGUUCGAAGCGGUGUCAGUCGGGCUACAACGUGACCGAUGUUUGGCAAGAUCGUCGCUACGGUCGUGUGGCUUACUCCAUUCCCAAUGACGAGCAGAAGAUCAUGGAGGAGAUCUACAUUAACGGACCGGUUCAGGCCGCGUUCAUGACCUACCAGGACCUGCACGCCUACAAGAGCGGAGUUUAUCGGCACGUGUGGGGUCACAUGGCCGGAGGCCACGCCGUCAAGCUGAUGGGCUGGGGAGUGGAGAACGGUCUCAAGUACUGGCUGGUGGCCAACUCCUGGGGUGACGAUUGGGGAGACAAUGGUUUCUUCAAGAUUGUCCGCGGAGAGAACCACUGCGGAAUCGAGAAAGAUGUGCACGCUGGGUUGCCGAGCUUCAACAAACAUAAGGAGUUAGCUGGAAUCUACUUCUGAUCCGUCAUUUUGAUCCGAAAUCAAGAUGUGAUUUCAAUAAAAGAGUUUUAUUAAACCUU